rnacentral:lncRNA from 1 species
UCUGCUAGGAAAAACUUCUAUAUCAGAGGUGUGAGUCAAAGAUAGGGUUGAGAGGUUUGCUAAUAAAGACUGAGAAAUGCUCUAAAUAGGACUUUUACUUUCUAAUGUGGAGAAAAAUGAAACAGAAACCCUAGCAGAACUGGGAACCAGACUGGGCGUGAAUAAAAGCUUCUUUCAAAAGAAAAAGCAACAAGGAAUGUAUCAGUCUGACUUCAUUUCUUGGAAGAAUUUCACGAACAGUCAAACAAGCCGAGAGCCUUUGAAAAAGCUGAAGAAGUGAUAAAUACCAGAGGUGACAUGGACAGUGGGAUUGAGAGCAUCCUCAACAAGUUUGCAGAUGACACCAAGCUGAGUGAUGCAGUUGACAUGCUAGAGGAAAGGGAUGCCAUCCAGAGGGACCUUGAAACGUUUGAGAGGUGGGCCCAUGCCAAGCUCAUGAAGUUCAACAAGGCCAAGUGCAAUGUCAUGUCCCUGGAAGAGUUAUUCCAAGUUCUUCAGACCUACUCACUGUCAAGCUAACUUCCUAGAAAGCAGCACAGUAUUUCCUUCAAGACUGGUUAUUCAAUGUGGUCCAUGAAAAGUAACACAGCUCCAUCACCCCAAGAGACUCUUGGAGAAAUUUAUUAUGCAGUACAGCUUGAUUCCAUUGUGUUCUGAAGACCAGCCUUCCUGCGGAGAAAUGUGGACCUUAGGCUGUAUUUUUAGAUCUGAUUUCUUGUAUGUGAGAAGAGGACCUGUCCAAGUUUCUGAUCAUCAAACCGUUUCUGACCAGAUCUGUUUCUGAUCAUUCUCCACACCUGGUCGCGAGCCCCACCUCUGGUUCACCAGCCAAACAGCAGAUUAAUAGAUUUCUUCCAGGCUCAUCACCCCUCUGGGGACUGUCUGUCUCCCAGCUGGAGGCUUGCUCCCUCGUUUAAGCACAUCUGGAAGAGUCAGUUUCCAAAUAAGGUCUGAGUGGCAGCCAAAACUUCAAAAGAUACAGGGGUUUUCAGUUACAAUUGAAAAGAUGUCUAAUGUCCUAAAGAACUAUCAGAAGUGACAGAAAUGCAAAAGUGGAAAGAGAAAUGUGACCAGUCACCCAUAAGAGAAAGAAUGAGAUCAAUGAUCUGAUAGUCUGUGCACCAAAAAAUAUACAGCUUCUCCAGAUACAGCAGUUGGUCUGAUGGCUUUCCCUUUAUAAACUCUGUGGUUCUGAAGGCUUCCAGUCCUCCUACAUCCUGUCAUUUUGUCCAAGGCUGAAUUUUCAUGAAGGUGCCCACACAUGAUACUCUUCUGAUACUUUUCCAGAUCAUUUGCACCACUUGGAGAAACAGAGCGAUAUUGACAGGCUGCUAUCAGGUCACCAUGGAGUCUUCUCUUCUCCAGGCCGAACAGCUCCAGCUCUCUCAGCCUGUCCUCACAGGGGAGGUGUUUCAUCCCUUCAACCAUUUUUGUGGCCCUCCUCUGGACCUGUUCCAACGUGUCUAUUUCUCUCCUGCACCAAGAACUCCACAUCUGGUCACAGCACUCCAGUGCUUUCAGCUGGUGGACAAAUGGAUCUGCAUACUGGUAAAGAUGAGAUAAAGCUGUAGAAGUGGUGGAUGAACCAAGCCAAAUCAUAGUCAUUAUUCUUCUGGACUGCAUAAAAAUGUUCAGGAUUCAAGGACAAGAUGAAGGGAUGUAUGACGCCAGGACAAAGACUGUGACUGCUCUGGCACAGCAGUACUAGAGGGAUGCAUUUUGUGGUCUUCGCUCAGGAAUAAUGGCACCUAAGAGCACAUGGGUCCAAUGGACGUCAAAAGCAUUUAGACUUGCAGACUAGUUAUUUCUACCUACCAAGUAUCCUGGAAAUAGAAGACGUUUGUCUUUAUAUGAAGAUAUGAAGCAAACUUUGACAGUGAUCCAGGAAGUUGAACAAUUACUUAAGGUGAAGCAUAUCACUGGUGCAGCUAUCAACGGAGCCAUCCACAUUUUUUCAACAACAAAAAAUAUGAAGCCAUUUCCAGUCAGUUCCCUCCUGUCCUGCAUUUGUGGCCCAGUCUUUCCUCUGUUUAAGUCAAUCAGGACGUAUUCAUUGACUUAAACUGGAGCAGAUGAAGUUCUUCAACUUGCACAGGCUAAGAAGCCGGAGAGCUGAAUGUUUUCUACGAGCCAAGAGUCCUGAUCAGUUCCUGAACCUGGUUCACUGAAUGGCCAAAUAAAUGUUUUGACGGGCUGUGUUGAUGGAGCAAUGGGAAGAAGGAUGAGCAGCCCAGCUUUGGGAGGGGAUUGAGUAGCAAGGUGAAAGGGAAAGCCUGAUGAAGCCGUCUUUGUCUCUGGAAGAAAUUCUGGUGAAGGCAUGGCCAAAAGCACUGCCUGAGAGCUGGUGUAAUUCAGAACACACAUCACUUCUGUAAAGAUGGUGUAUGGUCACUAAAAACCUCAUAAGGCCACAGAUCUACCUGUAUUAAAAGGUCAUUCAGGUAACCUGAGAGACUAAGAUUUUCUCCUAUACUGCUGGAAGGAC